rnacentral:rRNA from 1 species
UAUGCGAUACUUGGUGUGAAUUGCAGAAUUCAGUGAAUCAUCGAAUCUUUGAACGCACAUUGCGCCCGCCAGUAUUCUGGCGGGCAUGCCUGUCCGAGCGUCAUUUCAACCCUCGAACCCCUCCGGGGGGUCGGCGUUGGGGAUCGGGAACCCCUAAGACGGGAUCCCGGCCCCGAAAUACAGUGGCGGUCUCGCCGCAGCCUCUCCUGCGCAGUAGUUUGCACAACUCGCACCGGGAGCGCGGCGCGUCCACGUCCGUAAAACACCCAACUUCUGAAAUGUUGACCUCGGAUCAGGUAGGAAUACCCGCUGAACUUAAGCAUAUCAAUAAGCGGAGGAA